UUUCCGUAGGUGAACCUGCGGAAGGAUCAUUAUCGAGUUUUGACUGGGUUGUAGCUGGCCUUCCGAGGCAUGUGCACGCCCUGCUCAUCCACUCUACACCUGUGCACUACCGCGUGGGUCCCCCUUUGGCUUGUUCGGAGGGGGGCUUACGUUUUCACACAAACUUUGUAUGCAGUGUAGAAUGUAUUUUUUGUUUUUGCGAUCACGCAAUCAAUACAACUUUCAACAACGGAUCUCUUGGCUCUC
rnacentral:misc_RNA from 1 species